rnacentral:misc_RNA from 1 species
AAAGUCGUAACAAGGUCUCCGUUGGUGAACCAGCGGAGGGAUCAUUAUAGAGUUAUCAAACUCCCAAACCCAUGUGAACAUACCUAUUGUUGCCUCGGCAGGUCGCGGCCUACCCAGUAAAUGUCCCCCUACUUUAGGGGGACCUUGCCUGGGGAGGACGCGGUUACGCCUGCCGAUGGUCCGCAAAACUCUGUUUACCAUUGAAAAUCUGAUUGGAAACAAAAUACGUUAAAACUUUCAACAACGGAUCUCUUGGUUCUG